GUGACUACCGUAACAUAACCUGUUUUCCUGUUGAAGAAAGAAUAGAAGAAUAUUGUUUUUGCUUGGAAAUAAAAUAGAUUAAAAGAUAAGUGUCUGUAGGUCCUUUUUAUGACAUAAAUAAGUCAUUGUCCUGUUUUUAGGAUUAUUUAGAAUGUAGAUAAUUACUGUGCUUUUUUGGUUGCAGAAUUAUUAAUUCUAGAAAGAUGUCAUAUUUAGCUUGUUAUUGGUAUGGAUUUAUUCCUCUAAUGGUAUAUUGAGCCUAUUUUAAUGUUGUUUUGUUCCAUGAGUAGUAAUAAGAGAAGUAUUUAGUAUUUCAUGUGUUGAUUGUUUGGUAUGGAUUACUUCUGGUAGCAAUUUGAUGAGGUUUCAAAGAUUAUAGGCUUUAAAUAACCCAAUUUAUUUAAAUGUACCUGUGGAUUGUAUUCUGAGCAGGUUAACUGAAAAGCUUGGUAGAAUUUGGGCAAUUAAGUAAGCCUAUCAGAAAUUUAAAAUUGGUUUUGGUACUAAAUAAAUGCUUACGGAUACAUGCUUUGAUUCUCAAUUAUGUUAUUGGUUUUAGGAUGCUCCAAGUUCUUGUAGCUCUUUGCUAAUGAAAAAUGUUUUUGCUUUUGGGCAAGGAUAGAAAGCUAAGGUUCUCUGGCUCUAGCUCCUUUUUGGGUUACUCGGCAAGAUUGCAUUUUUGAAGAUAAGAGGGAAGACCAAGUUUCUUGUCAGUGGGACAAUGUUCACUUUUUGUCAUCCGUUUGGACUUAGUUGGCAGGGGCUAGCUUUUGACAUGGUUGUAUAUCUAUGACUAAGCAUAGAGAUUGAGAGCAUACUGAUCAUCCAGGGAAAUUAACAAGAAUGAUCUGUUUUACUUUUGCCGACAAUCUCUGUAACACUAGAGUCUAGAACUGUAGUUAAAUACGCAAUAAAUGGAAAAUCUUAUCCUAUUGUGAGGAUAGGAGGGUAAUGACUCUGAUUGCAUUAAGUUGAAGGUUGGAAGUCAGGGAAAUUGAUUGACUGUGUCUUCUAACAUCAGUAAACUGCACUGUUUGGUGGAACUUUCCAUGUUUUUGUACGGUCAUUCAUAUUUUUGCAAGGAAAUUGUUCUCCUUAGAGGGAGCUGCUUUUAC
rnacentral:lncRNA from 1 species